GAACACAGCCUCGUCGCCCUGGUAUCCGUGAAUUUCGGUGACCGAAACACCCACCAUUCAAGCUCACAGUGCCUGCAGUACAACCUUACUAGGAAAAUAACGUUCACUUCAUGAGAGGCAUGGACGUUCGCCAUGGACUCGCAGGCAUAACAGCACUCACCUCCAAGAUGCAGACCAGACAAAAAGGCAGUGCCAGCCGGGUCCCGUUCCGUGUGUGCGUCCUGGCCUUUGAGGAGGGUAGUCGGGCUAUGACUAUACAGUGGUGACUGCCAACGGAAAGAGGAGCAACAGCUGAAGGCCAUGUGGGAUCACAGAGGCUCUUACUUUUUUGGGUGUUUGGCAUGCAUACAUAUGGUUUUGAUGUAUCUGUAACAAUAAAGCACAAGCAUGUACAUAA